UGUUUUUCAACCUCCAAGAUGAAUCUCUCGUAGUCCGUGGUGUUGUAGAGGAGACAUAAACAAUAUUGGUCUU